AGUGAACGCUGGCGGUAGGCCUAACACAUGCAAGUCGAACGGCAACACAGUACAACCUUGCGCUUCCGUGUGGCGAGUGGCGGGCGGGUGAGGUGUACGUCGGACUCUACUUUUUCGUGGGGGAUCACGUAGAGAAGCUUACUCUAAUACCGCAUACUACCUACGGCUGAAAGCAGGGGCUCUUCGCACCUUGCGCGCUUGUAUGAGCCGAUGUGGGAUUAGCUAGUUGGCGGGGUAAAGGCCCACCAAGGCGACGAUCCGUAGCUGGUCUGAGAGGAUGAUCAGCCACACUGGAACUGAGACACGGUCCAGACUCCUACGGGAGGCAGCAGUGGGGAAUAUUGGACAAUGGGCGCAAGCCUGAUGCAGCCAUGCCGCGUGGAUGAAGAAGGCCUUCGGGUUGUAAAGUCCUUUUGUUGGGAAAGAAAAGCAGAAGGUUAAUACCUCGCCGUUUUGACGGUACCCAAAGAAUAAGCACCGGCUAACUUCGUG
rnacentral:rRNA from 1 species